UCCGCCACACCUUCUCCAAUCAAACCACUUCCGUGCUCACCAUCUCAAACAAGCUUCAACCGGCAGCUAUAAUUGAGAGCCAACAACAACAACAACAAAAAACCCCAACCAACUCCACCAAUAAACCUCGACCUUUACAACGCCGCCAGCCCUAAACUCCGGCGAGAAUUGUGAACAACCAGACCACCCAACAGAUCCCCACUCUUCCUUAAUGCCAUCAGUCACCAUUUAAAUUGCAACCCAACAGAAUCCAAAAUCAACUUCGAGCUCCGAGGAGAUUGUGAACAAGCAUAAAUCAUUUCGACAUUUUUUCUUCAUUGAAAAUAGUAGAAGAGGUUGAGAAAGGAAAAAUGCAAGGAAGAUGAGAGAGAGAAAUGGAAAGAGAUUGUGAUUUGUGGGA
rnacentral:lncRNA from 1 species